UCCUAUCUUGUCAUUAUCACACUGCUGUUUGUGAGGGCUUGCUUUAAUUUCCCACUACAACAGUGACUACAUUUCAAAAGUAUUUCACUGGCUGUAAAGUGCUUUGCGCAUUCUGAGGUUGCGAAAGGUGUUACAGAAAUAAAUGCAGCCUUGAUGUCCAAAGCAAUCCUGGAACUUGGAAGCUGAAUUUGAGCAAAGAUCCGUCCUAACUGAGGAAAGCAAAAAGAAGCUUGAAAGUGGCUGGACCUUUAAACAUACCCGCUUGAUGACAACCAGUGCUGUUAAAGAAAGGCGUGGCCUCCUUACAUCCCACUCUGCAGCCCUUGACUGAAGACCUCAGGAGUGUGCUGCUCUACACAGUUCCUGCACGACUGCAGUCGGAAGGAUGGGUGAGAAAGGAUCGCCUGGAUUUUGAGAAAGGAUUUUGAUAGGAUGGGGGGCAUACUCCUACUUGCCCUGAUAGGAAUGGCCACUGGGAGGCGAGGUGACGUGGAGGACUCCCACAUUUUUGGGUGCUCAGGGAGAGAGCACCGGUUGUGACUGCGAGGGGC